GGGAACUUGGUCAAGUUGCUAAGACACUGGCGGGGACAGAAUAGUGCAAACAUUAAGAGCACACUGCCGGAGACACGAGUUCGAAUCUCGUAGUUCCCA
rnacentral:tRNA from 1 species